rnacentral:lncRNA from 10 species
GCGAGGCGAGCCGCGGAGGCGCAAGCUCCGGCUCCAGCCUCCAGCACGCGGCGGUGCCUCUUCUUUCUGUCUUCCAGCCCGGCAGGAGAAGCUCUCGCUGCUAGCCUCCCUCCUACCGCUCCGUCACCACCACCACCAACAGGGAGGGAGUGCCCCAGGCUCCAGGCUCCAAGCUCCAGGCUCCAGGGGGCGAAAAGUGACGGAGCCUUCCAGUUCUUUAAGCCGGGUUUCCGUGUGUUUCUAUUGAGCUGCUCAGUGCCCGGCUUAGAAGACCAGGAAAAGGAGUCACAGGUCGUAUGCUGGAGGCUUGAGCCGCGGCACCGUGGCGCGGCUCGCCUCGCUGCGGUUGGUGGUGGCGGUGGACAUUGCAGCGCGGCUGGAGGGGGUCCUUAGACAAGGUGCAAGACAAACAGAAGAGGGCAUGUGGGGUCAAACUCGCUAGCUGCCUGCCUGAUUUUUCUGCACACAGGUGAGAUAUUCCUGCACAUCCUCUGGUGACCCCAGAAUGAGGGGGACUCGCUGGUGAAUUGCCUCGGGCUUCACGUCCAGUACAGGCUGGGUCCCCGUGGUCGCCAAGCCUCCUGCCUGCUCAAUGAUGUAGGCCACGGGAUUGCAUUCAUACAGGAGCCGGAGCUGUGGAGGAACAGAGGCAGGACAAAUUCACCAAGAGCCUAGCAACAUGAAGAGAGAUGCCAGGAAGAAGAGAGAAGCCAGGAAACAAGCCAACCGCACAAUCCCCACAUCAGAGCAGGAGAAGAUGGGGGCCUGCUGGCAGAGCUGGGGCUUGGCUGUGGUCACUCUGAACCUGCUCUUUGGUGUUUUCAUGAGUGGUGGGAAGAAUAGGGACCAUAUGGAGCCCACACAGGAAGCUCUAGCAGUAACACAGCAAGCAGGAAGACAAUUCUAAGGAAGCAGCCCAUAGUCUUCUUUCUUUUCCUGUGCAUCUUCCACUGUCAGUGAGGCUCCUCAUUUAUGGUGAACCCAACUGUGUGUAUCUCCCAAGUUCUCACCCGCAGAUUAAUGUUUUCAGGAAGAUAGGCCAUCAACAGUGAGAGGAAGAAGUUACAUUGUCGUAUGAGGGAUGCAUUUUAACCAUUAAUUUGUGGUACAGGCUGGGCGCAGUGGCUUAUGCAUGUAAUCCCAGCACUUUGGGAGGCCGAGGUGGGUGGAUCACGAGGUCA